UACAGAGGUCUCAAGCGUUGUUCGGAUUCAUUGGGCGUAAAGGGUGCGUAGGCGGCGCGGUAAGUCGGGUGUGAAAUCUCGGGGCUUAACUCCGAAACUGCAUUCGAUACUGCCGUGCUUGAGGACUGGAGAGGAGACUGGGAAAUUUACGGUGUAGCGGCGAAAUGCGUAGAUAUCGUAAGGAAGACCAGUGGCGAAGGCGGGUCUCUUGGACA
rnacentral:rRNA from 1 species